rnacentral:lncRNA from 1 species
AGCAGGCCUAGGAAGUGGCCUCAGAGAAAAAGCAACAAGUAAAUAAGAGGCAGUAUCGACUGCAGUGGGCUAGGAAUGGCGGGCGUACAGUGAAUGGGGUCAGCCAGCAAAGCGAGGGAAAGCGGACUCCGGAAGAGCAGGUUAAACCAGGACGCAGCAAGUCAGAGAUUCGGCACAGAAGCAAAUGCUGACCACACUGACCACACAGGCUAAUGCGGGAGGACUGUGGGCCCGAACAGGCCGGCUGGAGGAUAUGACAAACAUGUGCGGAGAAGACCCGGGCCCGGGGCUAGCCAGCAGCGCGGUUCCGGCGCCCGCCGGCUCCGGCCACCGCCCCCUCCCCGCCUCCAGCACCACCCCCUAAGCGGGAGGAGGAAGUGCAUCCAGAGAAGGACCCCGGGCGGUGGGGCUCGAGGGGCCUCGGCUGCCCCGAAACGCCGAGGUCUAUCUGCGGUCUCGACCCUUAGUGUCCAACCUCCUUCCGGACCCACCCCUGCACCCCCUGGCCUCAGCGGCCCGGGAGGGCACCAGCCCUGUGCCUGUGUGGCUGCUGCACUUCCAGUCCUUCCGAGCGGCCCGCGUCCCCGCCUCUUAGGCUCCGGCUCGGGCCAGACGCGGCCCUUGGGCCCCUAGCCCACCGCCGCCACCAGCCACGCCGCAGCUCACCCCAAGCAGGCCUGCCCCGCCGGUGCGCGCGGCCCAGGAGGCGGGCUCCGCCCGGCAGCCGCCGCAAAUGGCCAUUGGGGCCCGGACCAGCCCGCGGGAAGCUGGGAGUGGGCGCGCUCCGGCCGGGCGGGAGGAGAAGGAAGCGGCGGCCGGGCCUCCCGACACUGGCCGGCGACUCCAGGGGGCUGGAGGACAGGAAGUUGAAACCCCCUUUUCGCAGCUGCGGCCCCGUGGCACCAGCUCCUACUGCACCAACCCGCCCAGGCCACAGGCGCGCCGGCGUUUCUGGUUUCCAGUUGAAGAGGGCAGGCGGGAGGGCGCGGGGCACGCGCGCUCGCGCACGCGGCGGGCGGAAUCCCCCGGCUCCCGGGAGACCCUGCGGCCCGACCCUCCCCGGUCAAGCCAUCCCCCGGGCUGCCGGCCCCUUGCCUAGCUCCGGGGUGCGUUGGGCUUGAACUUUACAGAUCGCCAGACCCGAAGUUAAGGGGAGGAGAGGAAUGCCUCUGCCACAACCCUGUCUACAAGAAGCGAGAUGAGCACACCCUCCUCUGUUAAAUAUUGCAAGCGUCUCCUGCACCCGGGAGACCCGAGAACUCAGCGAUCAGCUGGCUGCCCGCGAUUCAUCGCUCCAUUCACGCCCAGGCAGGGAAUACCGACAUUAAGGCACUCCGGGAAGACGCGCAGGGCUCCCGGGAACAGUAUCAGGCGAAAGCAUCACGUACCAGUUUUCCUGCAUCCAUUGGAUGGCUUCAUUCUCGUUGAACUGCUUUUCGAAUUCAUAUUCUUGUAAAGUCAACACUGACAUGUUCAUUGGGGCUGAUCUUCGGAGUCGCUACGUGUUCUCUAUACAAAAUAAAAUAAUCUGUAAAGCGCU